rnacentral:rRNA from 1 species
CCUGAGAAACCCAAAAGAUCGAAUGAGGAGAUUCAUCGUCAGCGAUGCAGGUACGUGUGCGGCUCGUGAUGCCGGWGGCUCCGGCUUCCUGGCACGCGUCCGCAUGGUUUCUAUUGCCUGGUGUCGCCGGCGUGCACUUCUCCUCUAGUAGGACGUCGCGACCCGUUGGGUGUCGGUCUACGGCCCGGGCGGAAGUCUGUCAUGUGCAACGCUUCACGGCGUCUCGUGGCAGGCCCCCGGAUGCCCGACCGACUGCUCGGCGGUACUCGCACGGUAUCGAGGCCGCAAAUAUUCGAACUGCGUCCCGCCCGUCGCAAGCGAGGCAAGUGUUUCCCGGAUGUACGGACCUAGCGCCGUCGCCGGGCCUGGCCAGCUGUUGGUUGACGGUGCUCCUGGGACUGGCUCUUCUUUAUGAUACCGGUCGGCGACGCUACUGCUUUGGGUACUUUCAGGACCCGUCUUGAAACACGGA